CUCUCCAUAAGCUAGAGAGGGCUGAAGGCAGACACUGCUGAAUCCUUUGUCAAGGCCACAGCACUGUGCUCAUGGUGGGGCAGGAAAUAAUAAUGGGGCUGGAGUAGUUGGACAGACACUAAUAAAUAGCAAACACAUGAGAGUCUCAGAUAAGGAAAGGCAUGGAACACAAAGUCAAUACUCUGUAUAUGACAUGUUAGAUUAAAAAGUUUUUUUGAGUCUCUAUAACAAAUUUUAUUAAGAAACUAGGGCUUGGGUCAACCUCAGCAUCAUAACACACAGACACAGAUUAAGUUCACUAUAAAUUUUAAUCUGAUAUAAAAUGUUAACCAUAUUAAGAAAGAAAACGUGAUGACUCAAUUCAAUUUUCAUAAUGCUUUCUCACCAGUCUGAUCUGCAACAACUCCGAGUUCUGAGGACACCCUGCAAGGAGCUGAGCAGAUGUGGACAGUGGAAGGUGACCGUCACAGGUGUGCUGCCUACUCACCCCAAGACCUGCACACACAUCCAUGGGGCCUCAUGCUCAUUACCCGGUUCCCCAGGUAACAUAAGUGGUGACACUGCUUCUCAUCAAGAGGCACGGCAGGUGUGUCCAUUUAACUACCUCUCAGCGUAGCUGUGUCUCAGGCUCUACAUCACCAGCAAAAAAACAAACAAAAAACCCACUUCCUCCGCAACAUCCAGUUAACAGCACUGAUACCAAAGGAAAAAAAAAAGAGCAAAUUCAUAUUCAUUAGCCACUGUCACUGCUGUAAGAGCUGUGACACUGUAGGUGACAAACCAUAAGCACAGAGAGCAAGGGUACCUUUAUCCGGCAGCUCCCAGUUAAGGUUCCAUGCACUC
rnacentral:lncRNA from 1 species